GAGAACUGACGGAGGAGCUUGAGGAACUAAAGGAUCGGGAAGCUGACGCGUUCCCUGAGGAGCCUGAGGAGAGUGAUCUAGAAAGGGGUCAACUCACCGAGGAACUUGAUGAAGUCACCGAAGAACUUGGGGAACGUGAUAAAAAAAUAGGUGGGUUUUGUUCUCCUUUCCCGGGUCCUUUUGGGCGUGUUUGGCUGCUCUGGAUGGGUUGGGAGCGGAGGGC